rnacentral:rRNA from 1 species
CUGCUAGACUAGAGGACGGUAGAGGAAAGUGGAAUUCCCGGUGUAGUGGUGAAAUGCGUAGAUAUCGGGAGGAACACCAGUGGCGAAAGCGACUUUCUGGCCCGUUCCUGACACUAAGACGCGAAAGCUAGGGUAGCAAACAGGAUUAGAGACCCUGGUAGUCCUAGCCGUAAACGAUGUCAACUAGGCGUUGGUGGGUUAAUAGCCAUCAGUGCCGUAGCUAACGCGAUAAGUUGACCGCCUGGGGACUACGAUCGCAAGAUUAAAACUCAAAGGAAUUGACGGGGCCCCGCACAAGCAGCGGAGCGUGUGGUUUAAUUCGAUUCUACACGAAGAACCUUACCUGGGCUUGACAUGUCGAUGAACGAUUGCGAAAGCAUGAGGCUCCCUUCGGGGACAUCGUCACAGGUGUUGCAUGGCUGUCGUCAGCUCGUGUCGUGAGAUGUUCGGUUAAGUCCGGUAACGAGCGCAACCCUCGCCGUAUGUUAUAUGUGUCAUGCGGGACCGCAGGUUUCAAACCUGAGGAAGGUGGGGAUGACGUCAAGUCAGCAUGGCCUUUAUGUCCAGGGCUACACACACGCUACAAUGGACGGUACAAUGGGUUGCCAAGCCGCGAGGUGGAGCCAAUCCCCCAAAGCCGUCCCCAGUUCAGAUUGCAGGCUGCAACUCGCCUGCAUGAAGUCGGAGUUGCUAGUAAUCGCGCGUCAGCUAUAGUGCGGUGAAUACGUUCUCGGGGCUUGUACACACCGCCCGUCACGUCAUGGAAGUUGGUAACACCUGAAGUCGGUAGUUUAACCCUCACGGGAAGACGCCGCCUAAGGUGGGGCUGAUAACUAGGACGAAGUCGUAACAAGGUAACC